AACGAGCGCAACCCUCGCCCUUAGUUGCCAUCAUUCAGUUGGGCACUCUAACGGGGACUGCCCGGUGAUAAGCCGAGAGGAAAGGUGGGGGAUGACGUCAAGUCCUCAUGGCCCUUACGGGCUGGGCUACACACGUGCUACAAUGGUGGUGACAGUGGGCAGCGAGACCGCGAGGUCGAGCUAAUCUCCAAAAGCCAUCUCAGUUCGGAUUGCACUCUGCAACUCGAGUGCAUGAAGUUGGAAUCGCUAGUAAUCGCGGAUCAGCAUGCCGCGGUGAAUACGUUCCCGGGCCUU
rnacentral:rRNA from 1 species